rnacentral:rRNA from 1 species
GAUUGCAUCUUAGAACUUGGUCCAUCCAAAUGGAUGUGAACUAGGAUUCUAGACUAAAUAUUACAAGUUUUCUAUAUGUUACCUUAAUUGGUUGCAUAUAGUAGCUAGUAAGUUUACCUUGAAAAAAUUAGAGUGCUCAAUGCGGGCUUAAUGCCUGAAUACUCGUGCAUGGAAUAAUAAAAUAGGAUCUUGGUUCUAUUUUGUUGGUUUUCUGAUCUGAGAUAAUGGUUAAGAGGGACGGACGGGGGCAUUCGUAUCGCUACGUGAGAGGUGAAAUUCUUGGACCGUAGCGAGACGUACAACUGCGAAAGCAUUUGCCAAGAAUGUCUUCAUUAAUCAAGAACGAAAGUCAGAGGUUCGAAGGCGAUCAGAUACCGCCCUAGUUCUGACCGUAAACGAUACCAACUAGCGUUCCGUCGGCGGUAAAUACGCCUUGA